AACGUAGGUGGCGAGCGUUAUCCGGAUUUACUGGGCGUAAAGCGUGCGCAGGCGGUUCGUUGUGUCCGUCGUGAAAGCCCCGGGCUUAACCUGGGAACUGCGAUGGAAACUAGCGAGCUGGAGUGUGGCAGAGGGGGGUGGAAUUCCGCGUGUAGCAGUGAAAUGCGUAGAUAUCGGGAGGAAUACCGAUGGCGAAGGCAGGUCUCUGGGCUGACACUGACGCUCAUGCACGAAAGCGUGGGGAGCAAACAGG
rnacentral:rRNA from 1 species